rnacentral:lncRNA from 1 species
GGAGAAAAACGGAGAAGGAACAGCAACAGUUCAGAGAAUAUUGGCUUCAUGAGGACACCUUCUUGAUCUCUAUGUCCUUUAUACAGUCACCACCAUCUAACAUGAUGCCUGACCCAUCACAAACAUCCUGAGGAGAUUGGUCUGGUCACUUUGCUAAUCCCUCAAGUCUAUUAGCAGGAAAACAGAGGUUGAGGGCAUGUGGCAUCUGAGAUUUGUCACAACUAGGCAGUUAAAGACUGACCUAACCUCUACUUCACAUAGGAAAGUCACAUCGGAGGGAGUCCAGGGCGGCAUGACAUUCUCCACAGUCAAAACUGCCAAGCAGGAAGCCUGAAGAGGAGCAGAAAGUAGAAAUAUCUGUAUAUACCAAGAAAAGCAGAUUUUAAACAUCUUCAGGAAUAGAGGUAAUGUCAUGAU